UCCGAUUUGUCACCGGCAGUCUCCCAUGAGUCCCCGACAUUACUCGCUGGCAACAUGGGACAGGGGUUGCGCUCGUUAAUGGACUUAACCAAACACUUCACAGCACGAGCUGACGACAGCCAUGCAGCACCUGUGCACGUUGUACCCUUGCGGGCCUUAUCGCUGUUUCCAACGACUAAUCCGUGCAUGUCAAACCCAGGUAAGGUUCUUCGCGUUGCUUCGAAUUAAGCAACAUGCUCCACCGCUUGUGUGAGCCCCCGUCAAUUUCUUUGAGUUUUAGCCUUGCGACCGUACUCCCCAGGCGGCGCACUUAGCAAUUUCUCUACGACCAAUACGUGGUGAAACCCGCAUCGAUCUAGUGCGCAUCGUUUAGGGCGUGGACUAC
rnacentral:misc_RNA from 1 species